GGGCCGUUAGCUCAGCAUGGUAGAGCAACUCCCUUUUAAGGAGUGGGUCGCAGGUUCGAGUCCUGCACGGCUCACAA
rnacentral:tRNA from 1 species